AAACUUGACCUCAAAUCAGGUAGGACUACCCGCUGAACUUAAGCAUAUCAAUAAGCGGAGGAAAAGAAACUAACAAGGAUUCCCCUAGUAACUGCGAGUGAAGCGGGAAGAGCUCAAAUUUUGAAUCUGGCAGUCCUUGG
rnacentral:rRNA from 1 species